rnacentral:lncRNA from 1 species
UUCUCAUUAAUGUUUAAAAGAUAAUUUUCUUAACAAUUAAUAUGAGUUCUUUUGAUGUUGCAGAUCUGGAAGACAGAUGUAAAACACCUGUAGGAUGGCUCCCCUUGGUCCUGUUUCUUGACUUUGGCAGCAGCAAAUUUGGUACACGGGUCAGGUGCCCGGAGAGAGGCUGAUGAAGAAACCACAGUGUCACCACCCAGGACGUUGCUAAAUCGCUUCCCCCAUUAACUGGUGACAUUUGAGUUAAACUAAUGAGAAGCAUGUCUGCUGCAAUGCAGUACACAUUUAUUCUUGGAGACUGCUUUCUUCAGCUUAUUUACUGUUUUACCAACACUCUUAGUCACCAUUACAGCUGAUUAAUGAUGCCUUUCAUUAAAGGGAAACUAUUACAGACAUCCUUAUUUGAUCUACUUUGAAACUUUUCUAUUUCUGAUCAUCGUCUUCUGUCCCUCCUUUCUCCUCCCUCUCAUCUUUUCUCAGAAAUGAUAAGUGAGGCAAGAGAUAAUGCCUUCACAGCCUUUGAGCAAUGGCUGUACAUAUGGCACAUGAUGAAAAUCAGACAAAAAAGUAAAGUGAUAUUCUUGAUAAAACAGGUACUUCUACAUUAAUAAUCUGCCAUCAUCUAAAUUGCCAUAAAAUCCUCAGCUAGACUGAUAUAAUCCUAAUGCCUUUUGCACAAUAGGCAGCUUUUAAAGUACA